UGUGGAUGAAGGUUUGUGAUUGUAAACCCCUUUUGAUUGGGAAGAAUAACUGACGGUACCAAUCGAAUAAGCCUCGGCUAACUCCGUGCCAGCAGCCGCGGUAAUACUGAGGAGGCAAGCGUUAUCCGGAAUUAUUGGGCGUAAAGCGUCCGUAGGUGGUUUUACAAGUCUGCUGUUAAAGCGUGCAGCUUAACUGCAUAUAGGCGGUGGAAACUGUAAGACUAGAGUGUAGUAGGGGUAGAGGGAAUUCCCAGUGGAGCGGUGAAAUGCGUAGAGAUUGGAAAGAACACCGAUGGCGAAAGCGCUCUACUGGGCCAUAACUGACACUGAUGGACGAAAGCUAGGGGAGCGAAAGGGAUUAGAUACCCCUGUA
rnacentral:rRNA from 1 species